UUCUAGCCCCGAUAGUAGUGGAAAUCCUUUUGUGCCGGGGUUCGGCACAAAAGAUUGAAACGGAUAGCGGGAUUAGCU
rnacentral:sRNA from 1 species